rnacentral:rRNA from 1 species
UACGAAGGGGGGCUAGCGUUGCUCGGAAUCACUGGGCGUAAAGCGCACGUAGGCGGCUUUUUAAGUCAGGGGUGAAAUCCUGGAGCUCAACUCCAGAACUGCCUUUGAUACUGAGAAGCUCGAGUCCGGGAGAGGUGAGUGGAACUGCGAGUGUAGAGGUGAAAUUCGUAGAUAUUCGCAAGAACACCAGUGGCGAAGGCGGACUCUCUGGUACGUGACUGACGCUGAGACGCGAAAGCGUGGGGAGCGAACAGG